GCCCUUUCACCCCCGCCAACCGCCGCUGGGCCUCAGCGCCGUCGCUCGCUUCCUCGCUCGCUCGCCACCAUCAUCCUGAAACAACAGGAGGAAAAUAUCAGUUAUGAGCAAACUUGUUACUGAUUUCUGUAUCCAGGAUUCCUGUUGCUUUACCACAACAGACAAGUAAUUGCUAAGUGUUUUUCUUUUGGUCCCUUUUUUUCCCCACCUUCUCCUUCUUAAUCUGCAUUCUGGCUCUGUAUGUAGUAUUUUAAAUGAGUUAAAAUAGUUUAGGAAUAUGAAUUAAUUUUUAAGUGUGUAGAUGCUUUUUUUUGUUUAAAUAUAAACAGUGACCUUUUAUAAUAAAAAAGUUGGUUAAAAAACCACAAACAUGUUAGUUUCAAAAGUGGCUUGCUUGCUUAAAGUGCUUUGAUUGAGCCCCCGUAAAGUAUAGUUGCAAAUCCUUAACGGCGUAGGUGCCCCAUGUAAAGUGGCUCAGAUGUCCUAAAACAUUUCCUUUAAAGCACAUGGCGUUUGGUUUUGAUCUAGCCCCAACAUAAGUGUUGAGAGAUACUACCGCCUAAUGGAGUCGACAGUUCUUUUAGACAGUCUUUUCAAUAAUAGUACUAAUAAUCAAAUUUCAGUAUUAAAAUGUAAGAGUAUUUUGUCAUCUGAGAUUCUGCACUCCAUGAAAACUCACUUGGACACUGGGCCGAAGCUACGCUGUUCAUAAGUUGACCUGUCAGUUUCGACUGUUGCCGGUAGUAAGUAUGUUCACCUAGCAUGAAUAAAAGGACCUGCACGAAUGAAAGAGAUCAGUCAAUAAAGUAAAAAAAAAAAAAAAAAAAAAAA
rnacentral:sRNA from 1 species